GAUGAACGCUGGCGGCGUGCCUAAUACAUGCAAGUCGAGCGAACAGAUAAGGAGCUUGCUCCUUUGACGUUAGCGGCGGACGGGUGAGUAACACGUGGGUAACCUACCUAUAAGACUGGAAUAACUCCGGGAAACCGGGGCUAAUGCCGGAUAACAUUUAGAACCGCAUGGUUCUAAAGUGAAAGAUGGUUUUGCUAUCACUUAUAGAUGGACCCGCGCCGUAUUAGCUAGUUGGUAAGGUAACGGCUUACCAAGGCAACGAUACGUAGCCGACCUGAGAGGGUGAUCGGCCACACUGGUACUGAGGCACGGUCCAGACUCCUACGGGAGGCAGCAGUAGGGAAUCUUCCGCAAUGGGCGAAAGCCUGACGGAGCAACGCCGCGUGAGUGAUGAAGGUCUUCGGAUCGUAAAACUCUGUUAUUAGGGAAGAACAAAUGUGUAAGUAACUGUGCACGUCUUGACGGUACCUAAUCAGAAAGCCACGGCUAACUACGUG
rnacentral:rRNA from 1 species